AUGGCCUGGACUCCUCUGCUCCUCGCGCUCCUCUCUCUCUGCACAGGGUCCUGGGCCCAGUUUGUGCUGACUCAGCCCCGCUCUGUGUCGGGGUCUCCGGGACAGAAGGCCGUCAUCUCCUGCACCCGCAGCAGCGGCAGCAUUGGGGGCAACUACGUGCACUGGUACCAGCAGCGCCCGGGCAGUGCCCCCACCUUGGUGAUCUACAAAGAUGACCAAAGACCCUCGGGGGUCCCAGGUCGGUUCUCUGGCUCCAUCGACAGCUCCUCCAAUGCCGCCCACCUGACCAUCUCGGGGCUGCAGCCCGAGGACGAGGCCGACUACUACUGUCAGUCCUAUGAUAGUAGCUAUAAGCACAGUGAUUCAGGCCCAUGGGGAAGUGAGACAAAAACCCCCAGAGCCUCGCUGUCCUGGGCUGCACUCCUCCCCCACCCACCUGGAGAGGGCGCUUUCCUGCCUCUGCUCCAGGGCCAGAGAGAAUCUUCCUGA